GAUGAACGCUAGCGGCAGGCCUAAUACACGCAAGUCGAACGGCCCCCGACACUUCGGUGUCGGGGUAGUGGCGCACGGGUGCGUAACGCGUACACAACAUACCCUUUACAGGGGGAUAGCGGCGGGAAACUGCCAGUAAUACCCCAUGUCCUUGCGAGGUGGCAUCAUUUGCAAAGAAAGUUCAAGCGGUAAAGGAUUGGUGUGCGUCCCGAUUAGCUAGUUGGCGGGGUAACGGCCCACCAAGGCGACGAUCGGUAGGGGGUGUGAGAGCAUGGCCCCCCACACCGGGUACUGAGACACGGACCCGACUCCUACGGGAGGCAGCAGUAAGGAAUAUUGGACAAUGGACGGAAGUCUGAUCCAG
rnacentral:rRNA from 1 species